rnacentral:misc_RNA from 1 species
UAUUGAAUUUGGGUUUCCAUAUUCUUACACCCUGUGCACCUUUUGUAGGCCAUUCAUUUGGUCUAUGUUUUAUUUCUAACAACUUUGUAAAUGUGAAUGGUAAUGAAUAAAAUUAUUACAACUUUCAACAACGGAUCUCUUGGCUCUCGCAUCGAUGAAGAACGCAGCGAAAUGCGAUAAGUAAUGUGAAUUGCAGAAUUCAGUGAAUCAUCAAAUCUUUGAACGCACCUUGCGCUCCUUGGUAUUCCGAGGAGCAUGCCUGUUUGAGUGUCAUUAAAUUCUCAACCAUGUCUUGAUCGAUUUCGAGCAACAUGGCUUGGAUUUGGGAGUUGCUGGCGACGAAAGUCCGUCGGCUCUCCUUAAAUGCAUUAGCAAAGGGGUUCUGCAAAGCAAUUCAAUUCAGACGUGCACGGCCUUUUGACGUGAUAAUGAUCGUCAUCGCUGGAGCGUCGAGGGUUUAAACUGUUGCUUUUGUAGAAAACAAAGCUCUUUGCUUCCAAUUCAGACCAUCAUGUGAUUCAGUUCUGAAAGGCAAAGGCAGGCUUAUUAGUCUUUGGGCUGGUUAUUAGUCAAUGAAUGUUGGCGAAAGCAGCGCGAUGGCGAAAGGCUAGCCUCGAGCUUGAAUCGAAUCGAAUUGGUGUUCAUCUUUUGAAACUUG